GAGGCGGUGACGCGGGAGGAGGGCUGGCGAAGCGGGGGCGGCCCCCGGAGAGGAAGAGGAGGCGGCGGUGGCCGCUGUGUGCUCGCUGGCGGUCCUGCGGGCAGGAGCCUCGGAAGGACCCUGGCUGAACUCUGCAGAACUGGCCGGGCGGGCCCGGAGCUCCUCGGUGCCCAGAGCGGGCCCGGCAUGACCGUGAUGCUAGUUUGGCCAGAGCCCCUCCGCCUCGGGGACGCAUCAACUUGGUGAAGGGGACAGGGCUCCGGACUAGACAGCAACCGAGCUGGCCGCUCCCGGCUGCAGUCUCCCUUUCGGAGUCUCUAUCCAGGGCUCAGAGGCGAGGAGACUCUCGGGCAGGUAGAGUGAAUCCGAAGCCAGUGGAUGAACAGACAGAAGCUAAAAGAUCCCCAAAAAGGAUGCGUGAGAGGGCCACACAGAACUGGAACAUGGGCAGCUGGCUGCUGGCUCUUUGCCUGGCCUGGCUGUGGACCCUCCUGGCCUCGGCUUCCUUGCAGCUUCCAACUCCCACAGUCCUUGUGAAGCAGGGCACCUGUGAGGUGAUUGCCGCUCACCGCUGCUGUAACCGGAACCGCAUCGAGGAGCGCUCCCAGACUGUCAAAUGCUCUUGCUUUUCUGGCCAGGUGGCCGGCACCACCCGGGCAAAGCCCUCCUGCGUGGAUGCCUCCAUCGUCCUGCAGAAGUGGUGGUGCCAGAUGGAGCCCUGCCUGCCUGGGGAGGAGUGUAAAGUGCUCCCGGACCUGUCAGGAUGGAGCUGCAGCAGUGGACACAAAGUCAAAACCACCAAGGUUACAAGAUAGCUCUUGGGGUCACAACCUGACAGCUUGCUUGAGCCACGAACUGGAAAAUGGCAGCCGGUUAUCAGCGAGCACAUAUGGAGAUUCAGUUCCCUGGGCCCACGCCCUGCGCCAGGUGCAGCAGCACUCUUUCCAAGGCCAUUGCUAUUAAUCUGCUCAACAGAGAGGGGACCUCAUAUCUCCAGGCUGAUCUCCAGCCACAUACCUGUGAGGCUGGGCUCUCCUGGACACAGAAGAAGGUCAAGAUACAAUUCCUGCCCUUAAGGGGAAGUAUAUAGACUCCUUCCCCACUUGUGACUGCCCAGAGCUGCUCUCAAGUGUGAAAACCACAGUUUCUCCGUUCAUGUGAAGACUAUAGCUGAGCCCCAUGACAGCUGGCCUGAUUCAGAGACAUGGCCUCUCAGAGUUGUGAGAAAACCUGGCCGUCAUCUAACCAGCGCUCUGAAGCCCAGAGACCACAGCCAGCUGGAGAUGGAAACAGGACCCUCCUGCAGAAUGUGGCAUGGCUUGCCUAUGGUAUCCCUCUUCUCUCUGUGACCAUUCACGUUCCACCGCUAGUCACACUUUAUGCCACAACCACAGUGUCGUGAUGGCCUUAGCUUUAUAAGUAUUGAAAUCGGAUAGAGUUGGUUUCCCAAUUUAGUUUAUUUUUAAUGUUGUUUGGCUAUCCCAGGUUCUUUGCAUUCCCAUCUGAAUUUUGUAAUUUAGGUUGUCAGUUCCUACCAAUAGCCCUGCUGGGAUUUUGAUUGGGCCUGUGUGUGAUUUGUAAAUCAAUCCGGGGACAAGUAGAUGGAAUAGAAGCCUGAUCAGAGUUGAUAUUACAGCAUUUAUCCCAGGGUUUUGAGGUUGCCUGGUUACUUGCUAUUCUCUCCCAAAAGGUUGUGAACACAUCGAGGCCAGGGGCUGGGCUUUAUUUACCAUUUGCUCUUUGCUGUUAUAGCUCCAGCUCCAAACACUGAGCCUGGCCUUGAACAGUUGUUCAAUACAUAUCUGUUACAGGAACAAAUAUUUAUUUUAUCAUUUAUUUGCUUAUUCAAUCAAAAAUGGACUUCUGCUUGCUUUCAUUCUACUUUCUGUCUUCCUUACAGGCUGAAUCUAAUCCUGUAAAUGCUUGUUGAAUCACUACCAUGUUUUGAGAAAUAUGCUCAAGGGUCUGCAGGUGACCAGUGGGUUUAGCACCACGGGAAACCUUCCUCUAACAGCCCGUGUUGAUAGAUACCUUUCCAUUUCUUCCAUUCUAGGACUCGCAGCUGUGGAAGGCCAGGUGUUUAAAAUAUGUUAGAUGUGCCUCUCCUUUCUCCACUAGUUUGUUGUUUUGUUUUUUAGCUUGCCUGGGGCAUGUGGAAGUUCCUGGACCAGGGAUCGAACCCACACCGCAGCAGUGACCCAAGCUGUUGGCUUGGCAACACUGGAUCCUUAACUCAUUAUGCCACAAAAGAGCUCCUAUGCUAGUUUUAAUCUUCUUUUUAUUAGGAAAUGAAUCAAAUAAUCAUAUCUAUUCCUUCACCCCUGAACAUGGCGUUCCCCAAAUCUGGAGCUGUAGGAAACAUUUACUUAGAUUUAACUGUGGCUCCUGUGGCUGGUGGGGCGACCUCCUGAGAGGAGGUGAAGGUCCCUGCUCCGUGGAUGCUGUAGGAGCUGCACCUGGACUGGACGAGGGGCUGGAGGAAGUGGCUCCGCUCUGCAUUUCUCUUUGGCUGUUUUCUCCGUCAUUUGACUGAAACAACUUUUGAUGACUAAUUGAGUGAAUGGUCAAAGCUUAUUUUUUCAAUCAAAAUUCAAUUCCAGCAAAAAAUAGAGGCGUGAGAGGGAGUAAACAUUCAUGAAGCUUAUUUAAGCACCAGGCUUCCUUUCUGCAGAAAAUCAAAUUGCCUGGCAGAGGAAAACAGCUUCUUCCCAUCAAGAUCAUCAGAUUGAGUGUUUUUUACGCUGACUAAUCUGCUUUCCGGCUCAGUUUCCGGCUGGAAGGCAGUUUGGCAAAGCGGAAGGACCGGACGGAUUUGGGAUUAGAAUCUGGGCUGCUGCUUACCAGCUCUGUGACUUCAGAGUUCUCCAGACAUGCUUGGGAGGAAACUUCAGAGGGAAUUCCUUGAGGGUUUCCUGGGAACUGUGGGGCACCAUACCCCUUCCCUUGCGGCAGCAACAGCCCUCAGAUCCUGCCUCAGUGUUCGAGACAGCACUUCUCUACCUUCGUCAGUCCCUGGUGGCUUGUUAAAAAGACUUCAAAGGAGAAACUUCAGACUAGAAACCUCACUUGCCAUUCACAUUUCUUUAAACAUUGAAGAUACAACUGUAAAGAACAUUUCUGUGAAUGCUAAUUAGCCUCCAGAGAGGGAGAAAGAAGAGGAUGGAAGAGAGAGGCAGACACAGAAAAAUGCUGCAGGGAUGGCAGGGGAGCACGGAGUAACUCCUUGGAUUCUGUAAAAUAACCUUUAACGUAUGCCUCAUGAAGGUGAAAAGGACUAACUAUCGACAACAAAAGGAUCUGAUCCCAGAGAUGAGUAAGACUAGAGACAGCGCUGGAGUGAAAUUUCCUUUUUCGAAGAGGCCAACUAAGUGGGUCAGGCUGUCCCCUUCACAAAGACAGUGGAGACCACCCAGAAUGGGGUGCCAUAGGUGCUGGGAGUGUGGGGUGUGAGCUGAGGGUGGUUGUUCAGGCUCUCAUCCCCCCCUUUUUUUUUUUUUUUGUCU